UACGGGGGGAGCAAGCGUUGUUCGGAUUUACUGGGCGUAAAGGGCGCGUAGGCGGUUAGCACAAGUCAGUUGUGAAAUCUCCGAGCUUAACUCGGAAAGGUCAACUGAUACUGUGCGACUAGAGUGCGGAAGGGGCAACUGGAAUUCUUGGUGUAGCGGUGAAAUGCGUAGAUAUCAAGAGGAACACCUGCGGCGAAGGCGGGUUGCUGGGCCGACACUGACGCUCAGGCGCGACAGCGUGGGGAUCAAACAGG
rnacentral:rRNA from 1 species